GUGCUCGCUUUGGCAGCACAUAUACUAAAAUUGGAAUGAUACAGAGAUUAGCAUGGUCCCUGCGCAAGGAUGACACGCAAAUUUGUGAAGUGUUCCGUAUUUUU
rnacentral:snRNA from 1 species